GUCUACGGCCAUGACACCCUGAACAAGCCCGAUCCCGUCUGAUCUCAAAAGCUAAGCAGGGUCGGACCUGGUUAGCACUUGAAUGGGAGACCACCUAGGAAGACCAGGUGCGGUAGGCA
rnacentral:rRNA from 1 species